UCUGCUGCGGGAAAACGGACCACGGUUUUGUCGGUGAUGGUAACGAUCGGCGAUACUACCACGCGUGUACUUGCAAACCACUAGGAAAAAUGC